UGUUUAGAUAGCUCAGUUAGGUAAGAGCAUAAGGUUGAAAACCUUUGUGUCAUAGGUUCGAAUCCUAUUCUAAACAU
rnacentral:tRNA from 1 species